rnacentral:rRNA from 1 species
UGCCUACGGGGGGCAGCAGUGAGGAAUAUUGGUCAAUGGGCGGGAGCCUGAACCAGCCAAGUCGCGUGAGGGAAGACGGUCCUAUGGAUUGUAAACCUCUUUAGGCGGGGAGCAAUGCCGGGCACGUGUGCCCGGAGGGAGAGUACCCGCAGAAUAAGCAUCGGCUAACUCCGUGCCAGCAGCCGCGGUAAUACGGAGGAAGCGAGCGUUAUCCGGAUUUAUUGAGUGUAAAUGGUGCGUAGGCGGAUUUUUAAUUCAGCGGUAAAAUGUCUGGGCUCAACCCGGCACGGCCCU